UUAAAGUUGGUGCGUGACUUUGGCAUCAGCGCCGUUGAGGAAAUUGUAGAUGACGAAGACAAUUUUUCAGUAGAAACUUAUAAAUUUGACAAAGAUGGUUAUUCUAAAGCAGAUAAUGCAACAGCAGUCUUGGCAAGUGGAGUUGCCAGUAGCAUGAGUGUUAUACAUCUUCAAAGAUGUGCUGUCCACACUUUACAGCUAGCCAUAAAUAAUGCAUUGAAAAGGCCACAAUAAUCCAACUAACCAUGCCAGAGAUGUUGUCAAAACUCCAAGAAAUUUGAAGUGGAUUGACUUCUUCAGGGACCAGACUCAACAUCUCAUUCCAAUUUUAGAUCAGGCUACCCGUUGGUCUAGCCAGUUCAAUAUGAUUGAGAGGCUAAUUAAGAUUCGACCUGUAAAUCAAAAUCUAAAUAUGCAAAAAGAGGCUUCUAAAGAAUUUCAUGUGCAACCAUGUUUUUGGGGUAUGUGGGAGGAAUUGAAAAAUGUAUUGCAUAUGGCAUGCAAUCUUACUAUUCGUCUUCAAAGUGAAAAUAUCACCGCAGGCGAAUUCAAUAAUUUUUGAUUGGAAUUCAAUAAAGUGUGAACUUUACGGGAAGGACAGGAACUUAGCCAAAGAUUUCUAAAAAGGAAGGAAUAAUAGAGAAAGUGCACUACAUAAAAAUCUGUUGUUUCUUGCAGCAGUUUACAUUGAUAUUAGGCAUGGCUGUAUGCUAACAGCGACUGAAGACAAGAUAACUGCAGCUGAUGGACUUUAGAAAAUACAUUACAAACUGAUUCAACUCGCUAAUGAAAAUAAGAAUAAUGAACUCAAUAAAACCAAAAAAGCAGUAGAGCGCAACUCUUUUGCAAUUUAUGUGUCAGACUCUAGUUCAGAAAAUGAGGAGAAUGCUUCACCAGUCGCAAAGCGUCGACCAAAUUUAUUUAAGUUGUGUGAACAGGAGGUUCAAGAAAAUUUUUCAGAAGAACAAAUGCAGGUUUAACUAGAUGUAAUUGAAAAGGAGUUUCGACUAGCUGUAAAAUUAAUUCCGGAAAUCCGUUCAAUGUAUAAAGACAAAUCAUCCAACUUAGACAAGUUUUAAAAACUUAACCCAGUUGUACGGGAUGCCUGCCAUGUCGCUUUGUCGCUACCCAUAUCCUAAGUCAGUGUCAAGAGUCUAUUUUCAGUCUUAAAGCACAUGACACCAGACUAUUGUAGUUGAUUUACAUCUGAUUUAAUUGAUCAUAUGCUUUU